rnacentral:rRNA from 1 species
GAUGAACGUUGGCGGUGUGCCUAAUACAUGCAAGUCGAACGGAGUUAAUAGCAAUAUUGACUUAGUGGCGAACGGGUGAGUAACGCGUUGGUGAUCUGCCUUGAAGUGUGGAAUAACGCUCCGAAAGGAGCGCUAAUACCGCAUGUGCUCUCAAUUUUUUAGAAACUUGAGAGGAAAGGAUUUAUUCGCUUUCGAGAGGAGCCUGCGUCCCAUCAGCUGGUUGGUAGGGUAAAGGCCUACCAAGGCAAUGACGGGUAGGGGACCUGAGAGGGUGGCCCCCCAAAUGGAACUGAAACACGGUCCAUACACCUACGGGUGGCAGCAGUAGGGAAUAUUAGAAAUGGACGAAAGUCUGAUCUAGCAACACCGCGUGUGCGAAGAAGGCCUUCGGGUCGUAAAGCACUUUUUGGAAGGAAUAGGAAGGAAUAGUACUUCCAGAAUAAGUCUCGGCUAACUACGUG